GUGGGAUGACGUCAAGUCCUCAUGGCCUUUAUGUCCAGGGCUACACACGUGCUACAAUGGACGGUACAGAGGGUCGCAAUAUCGCGAGAUGGAGCCAAUCCCAAAAAGCCGUUCCCAGUUCGGAUUGGAGUCUGCAACUCGACUCCAUGAAGUUGGAAUCGCUAGUAAUCGCGGAUCAGCAUGCCGCGGUGGAAUAACGUUCCCGGGCCCGUU
rnacentral:rRNA from 1 species